AGAGGAGUGGUGAGAAAGCUAUCAAGACUACAGUGUCUCAGUGAAGCCAUGGCCUUGAGUCUUCCUGCCCUCCUGCUGGUCCUCUGCAAUCUCGGUGUGGCUCAGGACACAGUGAUGGUGUAUAGUCUAUGAGGAUCUGGUCUUAACUCUGAUGCGACGAGCGCCACAGACUGCUAUGGUGUUGGUGUACUGUGACUCAACAAGUAUGGGUAGGACAGCAGUCCGUCCCAACAAUGCCAGCCUCUGGUAGCAGGGCAGCAUACUCAGGGUCGAGGUUUAUGACCAGGAUGUCACCUUCGAUGACAUGCUGGAAGCCUGUCAGUCUUCGCUGAGGGUGGGAACCUAUAGUCACACAUGCUACCUAGUGAAAGGUGGUUCACUGCGUUUUAACACCCACCUCUACUGAGAGCUAUGCAUAGACAUCUCUCAGACUGGCUCUGGGGAAUAAUUUCAUCCUAAUGUAUAAUUACUGAGCAACCAAUCUGUCAGCUGUCAUAAUCACUUAUCAAUAAGAAAUAAACUGCUGCAAUAAAUAAACUUCAUCAUUCAUUCACAA